rnacentral:rRNA from 1 species
UUGGGAAUAUUGGACAAUGGAGGAAACUCUGAUCCAGUGACGCCGCGUGAAGGAAGAAGGUCUUCGGAUUGUAAACUUAUUUUGUCAGGGAAGAAAAAUGACUGUACCUGAAGAAAAAGCACCGGCUAACUACGUGCCAGCAGCCGCGGUAAUACGUAGGGUGCAAGCGUUAUCCGGAUUUACUGGGUGUAAAGGGCGAGUAGACGGCGUUGCAAGUCAGAUGUGAAAACCUAGGGCUCAACCGUAGGACUGCAUCUGAAACUGUAAUGCUAGAGUGCAGGAGAGGUAAGCGGAAUUCCUAGUGUAGCGGUGAAAUGCGUAGAUAUUAGGAGGAACACCAGUGGCGAAGGCGGCUUACUGGACUGUAACUGACGUUGAGGAGCGAAAGUGUGGGGAGCAAACAGGAUUAGAUACCC